rnacentral:lncRNA from 1 species
UCAAAGUGCAAAGGUGAGCUGAUGUGUCAGAAGAAGGGGUGAAAUCUGCAGCACUUCUGUUCAACAUGCCCAAGAGGAAAAACAAGCAACAGCGACAGCACCAGAAGAGGAAGAUUCCUCAAGGAUUCUGUGGAUGAAUAAUUCAGAAACGUUCCAGUUGGAUGGACUGAUUCAGGGUCUCUCAUGAUGCUGCAGCCAAGGUGUUUGCAAGCAUUGCCAUAAACUGAAAACUUGA